GAAGCGGGAAGAGCUCAAAUUUAUAAUCUGGCACCUUCGGUGUCCGAGUUGUAAUCUCUAGAAAUGUUUUCCGCGUUGGACCGCACACAAGUCUGUUGGAAUACAGCGGCAUAGUGGUGAGACCCCCGUAUAUGGUGCGGACGCCCAGCGCUUUGUGAUACAUUUUCGAAGAGUCGAGUUGUUUGGGAAUGCAGCUCAAAUUGGGUGGUAAAUUCCAUCUAAAGCUAAAUAUUGGCGAGAGACCGAUAGCGAACAAGUACCGUGAGGGAAAGAUGAAAAGCACUUUGGAAAGAGAGUUAACAGUACGUGAAAUUGUUGGAAGGGAAACGCUUGAAGUCAGACUUGCUUGCCGAGCAAUCGGUUUGCAGGCCAGCAUCAGUUUUCCGGGAUGGAUAAUGGUAGAGAGAAGGUAGCAGUUUCGGCUGUGUUAUAGCUCUCUGCUGGAUACAUCUUGGGGGACUGAGGAACGCAGUGUGCCUUUGGCGGGGGUUUCGACCUCUUCACACUUAGGAUGCUGGUGGAAUGGCUUUAAACGACCCGUCUUGAAACCACGGGACCCCA
rnacentral:rRNA from 1 species